rnacentral:rRNA from 1 species
GCUUGCUUCUUUGCUGACGAGUGGCGGACGGGUGAGUAAUGUCUGGGAAACUGCCUGAUGGAGGGGGAUAACUACUGGAAACGGUAGCUAAUACCGCAUAACGUCGCAAGACCAAAGAGGGGGACCUUCGGGCCUCUUGCCAUCGGAUGUGCCCAGAUGGGAUUAGCUAGUAGGUGGGGUAACGGCUCACCUAGGCGACGAUCCCUAGCUGGUCUGAGAGGAUGACCAGCCACACUGGAACUGAGACACGGUCCAGACUCCUACGGGAGGCAGCAGUGGGGAAUAUUGCACAAUGGGCGCAAGCCUGAUGCAGCCAUGCCGCGUGUAUGAAGAAGGCCUUCGGGUUGUAAAGUACUUUCAGCGGGGAGGAAGGGAGUAAAGUUAAUACCUUUGCUCAUUGACGUUACCCGCAGAAGAAGCACCGGCUAACUCCGUGCCAGCAGCCGCGGUAAUACGGAGGGUGCAAGCGUUAAUCGGAAUUACUGGGCGUAAAGCGCACGCAGGCGGUUUGUUAAGUCAGAUGUGAAAUCCCCGGGCUCAACCUGGGAACUGCAUCUGAUACUGGCAAGCUUGAGUCUCGUAGAGGGGGGUAGAAUUCCAGGUGUAGCGGUGAAAUGCGUAGAGAUCUGGAGGAAUACCGGUGGCGAAGGCGGCCCCCUGGACGAAGACUGAC